rnacentral:rRNA from 1 species
CAACACUGGGACUGAGACACUGCCCAAACUCCUACGGGAGGCUGCAGUCGAGAAUCUUUCGCAAUGGGCGAAAGCCUGACGAAGCGACGCUGCGUGAGUGAUGAAGGCUUUCGGGUUGUAAAACUCUUUCGCGCAAGAGCAAAGAUGUUUUAGUGAAUAACUAAGACAUGUGAGAGUACUGGGAAAAGAAGCACCGGCUAACUC